GAUUUCCCUCAAGAUGAGAUUUCCCAACUUCGGUUAUAAGAUCCCUCGAAGAUGACGAGGUUAAUAGGUUCGAGGUGGAAGCGUGGUGACACGUGGAGCUGACGAAUACUAAUCGAUCGAAGACUUAAUCAA
rnacentral:rRNA from 1 species